rnacentral:rRNA from 1 species
CCUACGGGUGGCUGCAGUGGGGGAUAUUGCACAAUGGGGGGAACCCUGAUGCAGCGACGCCGCGUGGGUGAAGAAGCGCCUCGGCGCGUAAAGCCCUGUCAGCCGGGAAGAAAAUGACGGUACCUGAAGAAGAAGCCACGGCUAACUACGUGCCAGCAGCCGCGGUAAUACGUGGGGGGCAAGCGUAAUGCGGAUUGAGUGGGUUUAAGGGGUGCGCAGGCGGCGUGUCAAGUCAGCGGUAAAAUGUCGGGGCUCAACCCCGGCCGGCCGUUGAAACUGGCGUGCUCGAGUUGGAGAGAAGUAUGCGGAAUUCGUGGUGUAGCGGUGAAAUGCAUAGAUAUCACGAAGAACCCCGAUUGCGAAGGCAGCAUACCGGCUCCACACUGACGCUGAGGCACGAAAGCGUGGGUAUCGAACAGGAUUAGAUACCCCAGUAGUC